UGUCCGUCUACCAUCGCCUCUUAUCAUGAUCAGUGGUCCAUCAUCAUCUCAUGUCAGUCCCAUAUGACACCUCUUACAUCUCCACAUGUGAGGUUCAUAUGAGUGGAGAAUUGCGACCACAGAUGAGGUUGAUGUAAUGGUUGAUAUCGAGAAGUUGGAGGGACAGUUGGAUCUGCAGAAAUUGUGAAGGACUUUAAAUUGCACGAAGUCAUUAGGUCAAGGCAUGAGGGAUGCAUGAAACCGCAAAAGCAGCUUUAUAUAGGUGACAAAUGGUGGCAACAGUAUGUAGAUGAUGGAGACAAUAACUAUUGAUUCUAGUUCAUGAACAUAAAUUUAACGGAAGCACAAAUUCAUGCAUACACACGACAAAAAAUUCAGUUUAAAAUGGAUCGGUCAUGGUUACCAGGAGAAAAAUGCAGAUUCCCAUAGCAGACUUGACUGAAUUCUUCAUGCUGCUACUGCCUUUUGAUCACUGUUUAGAGGUCCGUCCUUUGGUAGGAUUACUGAGCAAAAUAUCACUCUCUCUCUCUCUCUCUCUCUCAAAAUUUUUCCUGUUAUGCAUGAAGUAACAUGCCUAGAACAUCAGGACCAAUUUUUUACCUUCUCAUCUUAGGAUAGCGUAUGACUUGUACGAUCAAACUACCAAGUCUAGAAUCAACAAACCACAAGUCUAGGUAGUUUAAAUCAUGUCAAGUUAGUUCAUUUGAAGGAAUUUAAUGAGAUGGGAAUGAAUUUUUGUUGUGGGAACAUGAUUGGUUCAUGAACUUCCCAUAUGUAACAGUGUCAAAUCGCUCAUUUAGUGUUCCAUGCACAAGCCAUUGCACUUUGGCCUAUAAAUUUCACUGUGAAAACAGGCAUGUAAAAGGCCAAACAACUGAAACCUAAAAAGUAAGGAGUUCGAAAAAAUUGAAAGAUGAGAAGCUAAUUGGCAUCUUUGUUGACACGAGGAAUCAAUUCUUGUGAUGUGCUUUCUUAUGAUGAAACAGGCAAAGUGCUAUGGACGCAGAGGAUCAUAACAUGGCAUGGAUCCAUCAUGCACGCUGCUUUCAUCAUGUUGAGCUUCAGCAAUUAAGAUGAGAAUGGGCAACAUAGAGCACAUCCACUUGCGUGAUGAUUGUGCUCUUGAUGCAACUAGAUUGAGGAUGAUGCUACAAAGAUGCGCUGGUGCACCUAUAUGAUGUUAAUAUAACACUGCACCAAUAUGAUCAUGGAUGAGCAUCCACCACGUUGAUACAUCAGCACCAAAAGACCAAAUUCAUCUCGCUGAUCUUGAUGUGAUUUUGGUAGUAGUCUUGCAGAACAUCCUCUUCUUUCUUAAUAGACCUCUAGAUCAACGGUCAAGGACAUUGUUUCAACAUAUGACCAAAACAGGUUUUACGUUGAUCCCUCCUUCCAUCCUCCUCCCUCAUUUGUUUUGUAAGCCUAAUCUAGUUUGAACCUUGAUGGCCAUGGUUGUCUUGGUGACAUUGAUGGGCAGCUCAUCUUGAAAAGAUUCUAGGUAUGAAUCCUUGUGCAAGUGGUGUUGGAGUACUCUAGUUGAAUAAUUAUUCAGGUUGACUGCAAGGUCCUGUAGAAAAAGAAAGGAUUCUUUUUUUCUUUCAUUAUGACAUAUGUCAAAAUAAUUGGAUGGGAGAUGACAAAAAGGUAUUUGUUCAUU